UACGUAGGGUGCGAGCGUUGUCCGGAAUUAUUGGGCGUAAAGAGCUCGUAGGCGGUCUGUCGCGUCUGCUGUGAAAACCCGAGGCUCAACCUCGGGCCUGCAGUGGGUACGGGCAGACUAGAGUGCGGUAGGGGAGAAUGGAAUUCCUGGUGUAGCGGUGGAAUGCGCAGAUAUCAGGAGGAACACCGGUGGCGAAGGCGGGUCUCUGGGCCGAUACUGACGCUGAGGAGCGAAAGCAUGGGUAGCGAACAGG
rnacentral:rRNA from 1 species